CCUACGGGAGGCAGCAGUGGGGGAUAUUGCACAAUGGGGGGAACCCUGAUGCAGCGACGCCGCGUGGGUGAAGAAGCGCCUCGGCGCGUAAAGCCCUGUCAGCCGGGAAGAAAAUGACGGUACCUGAAGAAGAAGCCCCGGCUAACUACGUGCCAGCAGCCGCGGUAAUACGUAGGGGGCAAGCGUUAUCCGGAUUUACUGGGUGUAAAGGGGGCGCAGACGGCUGUGCAAGCCAGGCGUGAAAGCCCGGGGCUCAACCCCGGGACUGCUCUUGGAACUGCGUGGCUGGAGUGCAGGAGGGGCAGGCGGAAUUCCUGGUGUAGCGGUGAAAUGCGUAGAUAUCAGGAGGAAUACCGGUGGCGAAGGCGGCCUGCUGGACUGCAACUGACGUUGAGGCCCGAAAGCGUGGGGAGCAAACAGGAUUAGAUACCCUAGUAGUC
rnacentral:rRNA from 1 species